UGAUGGCCACGCUGUCUCCACCCGAGACUCAGUGAAAUGAAAUCGCAGUGAAGAUGCUGCGUCCCCGCGGCUAGACGGAAAGACCCCGUGAACCUUUACUAUAGCUUGGCACUGAACAUUGACCCUACAUGUGUAGGAUAGGUGGGAGACGUUGAAGCAACCGCGCCAGUGGUUGUGGAGUCAAUCUUGAAAUACCACCCUUGUAUGCUUGAUGUUCUAACGUUGGCCCCUUAUCGGGGUUACGGACAGUGCCUGGUGGGUAGUUUGACUGGGGCGGUCUCCUCCCAAAGAGUAACGGAGGAGCACGAAGGUGGGCUAAUCACGGUCGGACAUCGUGAGGUUAGUGCAAUGGCAUAAGCCCGCUUGACUGCGAGAAUGACAAUUCGAGCAGGUGCGAAAGCAGGUCAUAGUGAUCCGGUGGUUCUGAAUGGAAGGGCCAUCGCUCAACGGAUAAAAGGUACUCCGGGGAUAACAGGCUGAUACCGCCCAAGAGUUCAUAUCGACGGCGGUGUUUGGCACCUCGAUGUCGGCUCAUCACAUCCUGGGGCUGAAGUCGGUCCCAAGGGUAUGGCUGUUCGCCAUUUAAAGUGGUACGCGAGCUGGGUUUAGAACGUCGUGAGACAGUUCGGUCCCUAUCUGCCGUGGGCGUUGGAUGAUUGAGAGGGGCUGCUCCUAGUACGAGAGGACCGGAGUGGACGAACCGCUGGUGUUCGGGUUGUGUCGCCAGACGCAUUGCCCGGUAGCUAAGUUCGGAAUCGAUAACCGCUGAAAGCAUCUAAGCGGGAAGCGAGCCUCAAGAUGAGUCAUCCCUAGACCUUUAAGGUCUCUAAAGGGUUGUUGAAGACUACAACGUUGAUAGGUCAGGUGUGUAAGUGCUGCGAGGCAUUGAGCUAACUGAUACUAAUUGCCCGUGAGGCUUAACCAUACAACACCC
rnacentral:rRNA from 1 species